rnacentral:rRNA from 1 species
UACGAAGGGGGCUAGCGUUGCUCGGAAUCACUGGGCGUAAAGCGCACGUAGGCGGAUUGCUAAGUCAGGGGUGAAAUCCUGGAGCUCAACUCCAGAACUGCCUUUGAUACUGGCGAUCUUGAGUCCGGGAGAGGUGAGUGGAACUGCGAGUGUAGAGGUGAAAUUCGUAGAUAUUCGGAAGAACACCAGUGGCGAAGGCGGCUCACUGGACUGGUAUUGACGCUGAGGUGCGAA